UCCCCACUCUAUCCUUUCUGUAUAGCUUAUAGCCCUCAAUGUGUACUGCCCAGUCAUGGGUAGAGCCCCACCACGUUUCUGUUAACCCCACAAAGUCGUAAGUGUUCUCUGCAACCAGGAGUUCUAGUUUCUGGCAAGGAAUGCUGA